AUGAAAGCCACAAGGCCAACCCAGUGGCAGGCUCCGACCACUGGAUGUGUGAAAAUAAACGUAGAUGCGGCGGCACCCAGGCAUGCUAGGUUUGGGGCUGUGGGGGCAAUCUGUAGAAGCCCGGAUGGUUUGUUUUUGGGAGCUUCAGCUUUGAUUAUGAGGCACAUCGGGGAUCCGGAGAUGCUAGAAGCCAUAGCGAUCAGAGAAGGUCUUGCACUUGCGGAGGACCUGUACCAAAGGAGCAUUCAUGUUGCAUCUGACUGUAAGCAGGUCGUCGACUCACUGAAGAAGGAGGACGCUUCUCCAUAUGGUGCUAUUGUGCAUGAAAUAUUAAGCCACUCUUCAGUUUUUGAUAUGUGUAAAGUUAGCCAUGAAUUUAAGAGCUCAAAUUAUGAAGCUCACAACUUAGCGAAGCAUGCUCUAUCUCUCGGGGCCGGACGCUGUGUGUGGUUGGGCCAUCCCGGAAACCUUCCCUUCGUCCCUGUAAACAUUGUGACGAAUUAA
rnacentral:rRNA from 1 species